CAUACAUAAAAUAAACGCAUCCUGUCAUCAUGCCUCAGUUUUCUCUGGUCCUUCUUUUUAUUUCUCUUGGUUAAAUGGAAAGGCAGAGGACAUCUUAAUGGGGGAGCAAGGUUGGCAUAGCUGUGCCCCUUCAGAUUGGAAUGGAUACGUUGCUAACAGACCAUAAAAAAACCCACCAAGUUUCUAGAUCAGAUGCAGAAACACUUCUGUGGAUUAUUAAAAAUGAGUGAAAAGCUCUGAGGUUUCAUGGAUGCGGAUGUCCUACCUAAAGACUCAAAAAUGACCUUCUUAUUAAGAAUGUGAAAAACGUUC
rnacentral:lncRNA from 1 species